rnacentral:lncRNA from 1 species
UGUAGGAUGCGGAUUUCGGCGUUUUCGAUCUAAUUGAGUUUUGGUCUUUAAGAGAUUUUCUUGUACUCCGCCUUUUCGACAUUAAUAAAGUAUUUGCUCCGUCUUCGUCCGUGGACGUAGGCCGUUGGCCGAACCACGUAAUUAUCGGUGUGUUCUUUUCUUAUCUUUUCUUUUCUUGCAUUAAAUUAUUUUCUGGAUCUAUUUUUUCGCCGUUCCGAUUAUAACAUAUACAUAUAUCAACAUUUUUAUUAAACAAAACCUACUGUUAUUUUUAUUCCAAAACCUAGCUUUUGUUUUCUCCUUUAUUCAAAAACAGUUGGCAUUUUUUUUUUUUUUGUUGACUUUGAUCCUAAUUCCGAACCUUCACUCAAACCCCAUAAUAUCUUCUGUUCUUUUUUAAAAUUUCUCGUUCUUCUUCUUUUCUCUUUUUUUUCCUUGCCUAUUUUCCACCACUAUGAUAAGAAAAUAUUUUUUUUAUUAUUAUAAAUAAUAACACUU